GGGGUAUAAGGUUACCUACCUACAGGUUCAUAAUUAACAGAGGGGUAUAAGGUUACCUACAGGUUCAUAAUUAACAGAGGGGUAUAAGGUUACCUACAGGUUCAU